rnacentral:rRNA from 1 species
GUAAGGGCGUAUGGCGGAUGCCUUGGCAAUGAGAGCCGAUGAAGGACGUGGCAAACCUGCGAUAAGCUUCGGUGAGGUGGAAGCAACCUUUGACCCGGAGAUGUCCGAAUAGGAAAACCGGUUUAGUUUUUACUAAACAUUUCCUGCAGAAAAAAUAUGCAGGAUAAAGGAAACCAGGCGAAUUGAAACAUCUUAGUAGCCUGAGGAAAAGAAAUCGUAUAGAGAUUCCCUAAGUAGUGGCGAGCGAAAAGGGAAGAGCCCAAAAUCUGAUUAGUGCAAGGUUACAGCCGUUGCUAAUCAGGUGGUUGUAAGGUUGUACAUUGAUUAGCUGUUUCUAAUCUGAUAGAGUUACAAAACUAUAUUUUAACCAAAAACUCCUGGAAAGGAUUACCGUAGAGGGUGAUAGUCCCGUAGGUGAAAAUUUAUAGUCUCUAGUACAAUUCUUGAGUAGCGCAGGGCACGAGAUAACCCGGCGUGAAUCUGCCCCGACCAUGGGGUAAGGCUAAACACUCUCAUUGACCGAUAGUGAACCAGUACCGUGAGGGAAAGGUGAAAAGAACCCCUGUUAGGGGAGUGAAAUAGUACCUGAAACCAUAUGCUUACCAAGCGAUCAGAGCUCGUUUGUCCCAAUUUAUUGGGAUAAGAGUGAUGAUGUGCCUAUUGAAGAAUGAACCAACGACUUAGUUGUAUACGGCUUCGGAUAAGUCACGUACGUGACGCAUCCCUAGCGAAAGCGAGGCUUAACAGGCCAAAUUAGUCGUAUACACUAGACCCGAAGCCCGGUGAGCUAUCCAUGGCCAGGAUGAAGCUUCGUUAAAACGAAGUGGAGGUCCGCACCGAUUAGAGUUACAAAUCUACCGGAUGAGUUGUGGAUAGGGGAGAAAUUCCAAUCGAACUGGGCAAUAGCUGGCUCUCUCCGAAAUAUAUUUAGGUAUAGCCUGCAAAUUUAAACAAGAUAGGUAGAGCACUGAAUGGGCUUGAGGAGCGUAAGCUUACUCUGCCUAAUCAAACUCCGAAUUAUCUUGUGCAUAUCUGCAGAGUCAGACAGUGGGAGCUAAGUCUCAUUGUCAAAAGGGAAACAGCCCGGACCAUCGUCUAAGGUCCCAAAAUCAUAGCUAAGUGGCAAAGGAUGUUUCGUUGCACAGACAGCCAGGAGGUUGGCUUAGAAGCAGCCAUUCCUUUAAAGAGUGCGUAACAGCUCACUGGUCAAGUGAUAAUGCGCCGAAGAUGUAACGGGGCUAAGCUAUGUACCGAAGACAUGGAUUAUCGUGCUUCACUAGCGUUCAGCACAUAAAUUCAAAACUAAUAAAUCAAAACUCAAAACUAUUGAAACACAGCUCAACAAUAUAUUCGUAUAUCGUUGCGAAGCAACACAUUAGUUUUGCACUUUGAAUUUUGCAUUUUGAGUUUAUUGUGCCGAGCACCAGCGAGGCACGAUAGUGGUAGGAGAGCGUUCUAUACUGCGAUGAAGUCGUACCGUAAGGAACGGUGGAGCGUAUAGAAGUGAGAAUGUUGGUAUGAGUAGCGUUUAUAAUACAUGUGAAAAACAUGUACGUCGAAAGUCCGAGGUUUCCUGGGCAACGUUAAUCGCCCCAGGGUUAGUCGGUCCUAAGUCGAGGCCGAAAGGCGUAGGCGAUGGACAAGCAGUUAAUAUUCUGCUACUACGAGUUAUUUAUCAAAGGUUUACCGGUAAAUUGCGGUAUAAUCCUUAUGUUGAUUCUUCGGAAGAUACAUUUGGUGGCUGCAAUAUGACCGAUAAAUCUGACGAUGGGGUGACGCGAAAGGGUAAUUCGAGCGUAUUUCGGCUAUAUGCGUCUAAGGUUGUAGGGGGGUACUCCAGGUAAAUCCGGAGAACCAUCUAAACUUCGAAGACCAAAUGAAAUAUUGCUCCUUCGAGAGCAGCAAAUUCGAACGAUCCCAUUCGACAAGAAAAACCUCUAAGUUACAAAUUGCUCGUAACCGUACCGAAAACCGACACUGGUGGACUGGUGCGUAAUGUACCAAGACGAUCGAUAGAAUCUUUGCCAAGGAACUCUGCAAAACAGCGGCCGUAACUUCGGGAUAAGGCCUGCCCGAUGAUUUUUUUAGAUUUAUCUUGAAAAAUUUUAUCGGGCCGCAGCUAAAGAGCCCAUGCAACUGUUUACCAAAAACACAGGUCUCUGCAAAGCCGUAAGGCAACGUAUAGGGACUGACACCUGCCCAAUGCUAGAAGGUUAACGGAAUUGGUUAUCCCCUCGGGGAGAAGCUGGUUCCCGAAGCCCUAGUGAAUGGCGGCCGUAACUAUAAAUUAAGGACCCCUUGAUUAUCAAGGCAAAAGUUGUAGUUACGUAAAUAAAUUUGACUAAAUGCUGGAAACUCCGAGUAUUCUAUUACUACUCGCCAAUACAUUUUGGCAGUAACAAUGUAUAGAUGCGGACAAUCAGCAGGAAAGACUUAAGAAUUAAUUUUAUGAUUAAUUUGAAAAAAAUACCUGAUCAAAUUGGGUAUUAUAUUGCGGGAUUUACAGAUGGAGAAGGAAGUUUCAAUGUAGUGUUUCGUCCACGAAAAGAAUUCUCAACUGGAUGGAAAAUAUCAUUAUGCUUCAAUGUCUCACAAAAAGAUAAGGUAAUACUUACUUUGCUAAAAAGAUACUUACAAUGUGGUACUUUAAGACAAAGAAAAGACGGCAUUUGGUAUUAUGAAGUAAACAAUAUUGAGUCCAUAAGAAACAAUAUUAUACCUUUCUUCAAUAAAUUUCAUUUUUUAUCUGCAAAGAAAAAAAGAGAUUUUAGUAAAUUCAAGCAAAUAUUAAACAUAAUUAUCGAAAAAAAGCAUACAACCAAACAAGGUAUGAAAGAAAUUAUUUUAAUCAGAAAAGAUAUGAACGAUGGUGGAAAAAGAAAAUAUUUUUGUCAACCUUCUGAACGAUAAUUAUUUAAGAAUCCUCAGAGACUUUACGUCAAACAUGUAUCAAACAUGAAGAUAUAGUCCGAACUCUAUAGCGAUAUAGAGAUCACAACUAAGUGAUAAUUUGAAAAUAGUAUUUUCAAAUAACAAUUUUGAACGGUCCUAAGGUAGCGAAAUUCCUUGUCGGGUGAAUAAAGUAUGUCGGAACCGGUAUUU